GACGAACCGUGCGAACGUUGUUCGGAAUCACUGGGCUUAAAGGGCGCGUAGGCGGUCACGCACGUCCGGGGUGAAAUCUUUCGGCUUAACCGGAAAAGGGCCCUGGAUACGGCGUGACUGGAGGGGGAGAGGGGCGGACGGAACUUCCGGUGGAGCGGUGAAAUGCGUUGAUAUCGGAAGGAACGCCGGUGGCGAAAGCGGUCCGCUGGAUCCCUACUGACGCUGAGGCGCGAAAGCCAGGGGAGCGAACGGGAUUAGAUACCCCGGUAGUCCUGGCCCUAAACGAUGGGUACUGGGUAGCGGGCCGUUUCGGCUCGCUGCCGUAGCUAACGUGGUAAGUACCCCGCCUGGGGAGUAUGGUCGCAAGGCUGAA
rnacentral:rRNA from 1 species